AAGUCGUAACAAGGUUUCCGUAGGUGAACCUGCGGAAGGAUCAUUAUCGAAAUCAUCACACACGGAGUUGGAUGUUCGUUGUGGGACUUCUCUCUCUCUCUUGUUGUUUGCUGGCCUUUCACGAGGCAUGUGCACACAGGGGAGGGGGUUGUCUUCAGUGAGCCUCUCCAACUUCUGAUUUCUCCACACACACACCUUGUGAACACAUGUGGAAUGAAGGGGGGAGAGGCUGGAUAACGGCCUUUCUUUUCUGACCUCCAUCUUUUUUUAAUUCACACACGCUUGUAAAACCCGAGAUGUACUAUUUGUAAAUGAAAUAAAAACAACUUUCAACAACGGAUCUCUUGGCUCUC
rnacentral:misc_RNA from 1 species